rnacentral:misc_RNA from 1 species
ACAAACUCCUACAUACGCGCACAUCAACGCUCCCUCCUCCCGUAAGGGAACACGCUACCCUCGUACCCACCCUCACCCCCUCUCGUUUCUUCGGUACAGUGUCUCAGGAAAGACCACAAGGACUUUGCGCUAACAUCCUAAGCAACACAACCUACAUCCUAGAGACGCACUUAUCAGAACCAUGCUGUCCCGUGUGCAGUCUGCGAUGAUUCGCCGCGCCGCUGGGGUGCGCGCUGCGUCGUCGGCGGCGGCUGCCGCUGCCGCGAAGCCUGCGGAGCACAAGGGCCGCGUCGGCUACGUGUCGCAGGUCAUUGGCGCGGUGGUGGACGUGCACUUCUCGGAGGGCGUGCCGCCCGUACUGACGGCGCUGGAUGUGACGGAGGACCUUGGCCGCGAUGAGCCGCUGACGCUGGAGAUCGUGCAGCACUUGGAUGCGAACACCGGCCGCUGCAUUGCGAUGCAGACGACGGACCUGCUGAAGCUGAAGUCGAAGGUUGUGUCGACCGGCGGCAACAUCUCUGUGCCGGUGGGCCGUGAGACGCUGGGCCGCAUCUUCAACGUUCUGGGCGACGCGAUCGACCAGCGCGGCCCCGUGGGCGAGAAGAUGCGCAUGGCGAUCCACGCCGAGGCCCCGAAGCUGGCGGACCAGGCCGCGGAGGACACGAUCCUGACGACCGGCAUCAAGGUGAUCGACCUCAUUCUGCCCUACUGCAAGGGCGGCAAGAUCGGCCUGUUCGGCGGUGCCGGUGUGGGCAAGACUGUGAUCAUCAUGGAGCUGAUCAACAACGUCGCGAAGGGCCACGGUGGCUUCUCCGUGUUUGCCGGCGUUGGCGAGCGCACGCGCGAGGGCACGGACCUAUACCUGGAGAUGAUGCAGUCGAAGGUGAUUGACCUGAAGGGCGAGUCGAAGUGCGUGCUUGUGUACGGGCAGAUGAACGAGCCCCCGGGUGCGCGCGCGCGCGUUGCGCAGUCUGCGCUGACGAUGGCGGAGUACUUCCGCGACGUGGAGGGCCAGAACGUGCUGCUGUUCAUCGACAACAUCUUCCGCUUCACGCAGGCGAACUCCGAGGUGUCUGCGCUGCUGGGCCGCAUUCCGGCCGCCGUGGGCUACCAGCCGACGCUUGCCGAGGAUCUUGGUAUGCUGCAGGAGCGCAUCACAUCGACGACGAAGGGGUCGAUCACGUCCGUGCAGGCCGUGUACGUGCCGGCGGAUGAUAUCACGGAUCCCGCGCCCGCGACGACGUUCUCGCACCUGGACGCGACGACUGUGCUGGACCGCGCGGUGGCGGAGUCGGGCAUCUACCCUGCCGUGAACCCGCUGGAGUGCGCGUCGCGUAUCAUGGACCCCGAUGUGAUCGAUGUGGACCACUACAACGUUGCGCAGGAUAUCGUGCAGAUGCUGACCAAGUACAAGGAGCUGCAGGAUAUCAUUGCGGUGCUUGGCAUCGACGAGCUGAGCGAGGAGGACAAGGUUGUGGUGGACCGCGCGCGCAAGGUGACCCGGUUCCUGUCGCAGCCGUUCCAGGUUGCGGAGGUGUUCACGGGCAUGACGGGCCACUACGUGCAGCUGGCCGACACGGUGGAGUCGUUCUCUGGCCUGCUGAUGGGGUCGUACGACCAGAUCCCGGAGAUGGCGUUCUACAUGGUUGGCGGCAUCAAGUCUGUUCUGGAGAAGGCGAAGGCCAUGGCGGAGGAGGCUGCAGCGAUGGAGAAGCAGCGUCGCGCGCGCCAGGCCGCGAACGCCUCGGACUCGCAGUAGGCCGCCAGCGACGCGAGACGUGAGUCCGCGGGUGCGUGCUUGACGGCGUUCGCGUGACAGCCACGGAAUGUCCCACGUGGCGAGCGCGGCGUAUCUCGUGCUCUUACAUGUUUUCUUUCACAGGCAGCAGCUAGCGGGAGGAUUGAAGGGGAAGGGUGCAGCGUUGCCCUAGGUUCGCUUCCACACCCGUUUUUCUUUCUUUCGCCGCCGCGUGUCUGGCUGCGAGUCUUUCUUGGGGUGGAACUGUCACCGAAGGCGUCGGACGUUUCUCUUAGUCUGAUCAUGCUCGUCCUCCUGCGCUCUGGGUUGCGAGUGCGCUGGGGAUGAUGAGGAGGACGGUAGGGGUGCCGUUGUUGGUUUGUUCUCGUUUUGUAGCGGACCUGUACGUGAGCUAGUGUGGCGAUGGCACGGAAGCGGGGGCGCGGGCGAGGGGGCGCAGCGUACGUGUGCGUGUGUCGGUGUCCAGAACACACUUGCGCGCCCAUCUUCAUCCGCCCCGUCCCUCUCUCUGUUUCCAUUUCGGAUGCGGCCCUCGUGUUCUUUCCGUUUUUUUUUCUCUCUGUCGCUCGUAUAUAUAUAUAUAGAGAGAGAGAGAGAGUAGUUGUAGCCAUAGUAAGGCGAGUGCACGCCAUGGUAAAGAGACGCACACUCUCUAUUCUCUUCUCCCGCCCUUCCUUCCCCUUUCCUCUCCUCAUCUCAAUCUGACGGCACACACGCACACACACGGAGACGUAUCGGCGUUUGUGCCGUGACCCGCGAGCAGGUCAUGCGUGGCUGCGCACGGCAUGCGCGUGCAUCUCUGUGAGGAAGUGCCCGAGUGAGUGGGUGGGGUGGGCUGUUGGCCUUGUUUUGGGUGUCCUUGCGUGUGUGUAUGCGUGCAAGAGUAGCUUAAGCAGCGAAUACCCCCUGAAAAAGGAGAGAAGGACAUGUGCGACGCUGAACUAAC